CAAGACGCAGGUAGGAGUACGUGUAAAUGUAUCCUUGUACUGUACCACGGAGAAAAAUAACGAAAAGAGCGUUCAGUAGCUCUCGUCACUUCGAACACUGUGCUACUGGAUAAUUGGAACUAGAAAUGGAAAAUGCUGCAUUCGAUUCUUCUGGUGAGGCAUCUAAAGGCGAAUCUUUGGCGGGCCGACAUCCCAAUCCAGCGGCGGCGGAUGGUUUGGAGCUGAAACGCAAAGUAGGACUAUUCAGCGGGGUGGCACUGAUCGUCGGCAACAUGAUAGGUUCUGGAAUCUUUAUUAGUCCCGGUGGAGUGUUGCAAAGAUCUGGCUCGGUUGGACUCGCUUUAGUUAUGUGGGCGGCAUGCGGUCUUUUGGCCAUCUUAGGUUCGCUAUCUUACGCCGAACUGGGGACCUUAAUCCCUAAAUCGGGUGGUGAAUAUUCGUAUCUCAUCGACGGAUUGAGUCCUUUGCAUCCAUUCUGGGGCCCAUUGCCGGCUUUCCUUUAUUCUUGGAUCAGCGUUUUAUUAUUGAGACCGACUACAUUUGCUGUUGGUUGCCUAAGUUGCGCCAGUUACACUGUCUAUCCGAUUUUGACAUCGUUGGGUUUCUGUCUCGACGCCGACAAAGAAGAUUUGCUGAUCAAAAUAACUGCCAUAUUAUAUAUAGGUUUGAUCACAGCUCUCAAUUGCUACAGCGUUGAUUGGACGAUCCGAGUUCAGAAUGUGUUCACUGUAGCAAAACUUGUCGCCAUCGUCGUACUGAUCGGAUGCGGAAUCUAUCAGCUGUCUACCGGAGGAACACAAUACCUGGCCCAAGGAUUUGAGGGAUCAACGACGGAAUUCGGAACCUUGGCUACCGCCUUUUACGGAGGACUAUGGGCAUAUGAUGGAUGGAAUAACCUCAACUUUGUCACCGAGGAGAUCAAAAACCCUUACGUCAACCUACCGCGGGCUAUCAUGAUCGGUAUUCCAUUGGUGACCGUCUGCUACCUGGCCGUCAACGUAGCUUACCUCACCGUACUGAGUCCUCAGGCCCUGAUAAAUUCCGACGCCGUUGCCGUGGAAGUCGGUAAUUAUCUCCUGGGCCCUGUAGCCUUUUUCAUACCUCUAGCAGUGGCCAUGUCCACGUUUGGGGGAGUGCUCACUGGCGCAUUUGCCACCGGAAGGUUGUGUUUUGCUACAGCAAGGGAAGGCCACAUGGUUGAUGUCUUGUCCUACGUUCACGUUGAAAGUCGAAUUCCUACCCCAGCUCUCAUUUUUACGGCAAUUAUAGCUCUAAUCCUAGUGGCCUCCAAGAAAGUCACUAGUUUGAUUGACUUUUUCACGUUCGCCGUCUGGAUCUUUUACGUCUUGGCCAUGAUCGUUUUGCUCAUUCUACGCAAAACAAAACCUGAUGCUCGAAGACCCUAUCGAGUUCCACUGUUUGUUCCAAUUUUGACGAUUGUUAUUGGUUCGUACCUCGUUGUGGCACCGAUCGUGACCGACCCGGCUAUUGAGUACCUUUACGUCCUCGGCGUCCUGUUCAUUGGCGUCUUAGUUUACAUCCCCUUUGUUUACUACAAAUGCUCAUUGGGUUUCAUGGGACCUAUUACAAGACUCGUUCAGUUAAUACUAAGCGUGGGCCCAACACUGAAGCCGGCCGCUGACUAGACCUAUUGGAUUAUAUGCAGUGUACUCGUUUAUUUCUCUGCCUGUCGUAUGCUACAAGGACACGCGAUACCACAUCCAGGACGCGGCUGUCGGAUUUGAUCGUCUUGCAAACGACAACAAAAUACAUUCAGUUCUACAUUGAUUUUUUUUCCCCUUUUCUUCAACCGUUUUUCAUAAAUCCUCUUAGCUGUAGAAGGCGUAAACGAGCCGGUUACAACGCAAUCCCCAAUUUAGUUUUUAGUUUUUCGAAUCGCAUAUUUUAGAAAACCUAUUUACACGUUAGGUUUUUUACAAUCCACUUUUUACAGUGAUAGGACGUAAUUCUCGUAAUUCUCGUGUCAAAGAAGCGGACGCACGUCAAUGACAUUGUCGUACAGUAUUUAGCCUUUUGCUUCUAAAGAAGCUCUGCAAAAAACGGGGAAACAUUUCAAAUCCAGUUAAGUCUUCUUCGUUGAUUUUUACAUUUCUUUGACGUUCCUCGAAUACUUAUUCGGUAUGCAUACUUACCUCAAUUCAAUAAACGGAUUUUAUUUCGUUGA
rnacentral:misc_RNA from 1 species